rnacentral:rRNA from 1 species
GGCCCCAUAAAGGUUACCUCACCGACUUCGGGUGUUACAAACUCUCGUGGUGUGACGGGCGGUGUGUACAAGGCCCGGGAACGUAUUCACCGUGGCAUGCUGAUCCACGAUUACUAGCGAUUCCGGCUUCAUGUAGGCGAGUUGCAGCCUACAAUCCGAACUGAGAACGAUUUUAUGAGAUUAGCAUACCCUCGCGAGUUAGCGACUCUUUGUAUCGUCCAUUGUAGCACGUGUGUAGCCCAGGUCAUAAGGGGCAUGAUGAUUUGACGUCAUCCCCACCUUCCUCCGGUUUGUCACCGGCAGUCACCUUAGAGUGCCCAACUAAAUGAUGGCAACUAAGAUCAAGGGUUGCGCUCGUUGCGGGACUUAACCCAACAUCUCACGACACGAGCUGACGACAACCAUGCACCACCUGUCACCAAUGUCC